AGUUGCUGGAGCCGCGCGGCGGGAGAAGACUCUAUGGCGCACAGCGGAGACGAAGGCGAGGAGACGAGACUGUCCUCGAGACCGGUGGUUCAUAAAACGGCCCCUUUACCGAGAAACUGCUUUUAAAACAUCUGCUUAGGAAAAAGGAAGAAAGAAGCGGAACAGAGAGAAGACGCACGUUAACAAGAGGGUUUUUGGGAAGACUUGGAAUGUUGACACCAAAGCUGCAGCUCUGCAGGGGUCCUGCUCCUCCUCGUUGCCCCGUCCCGGGUUUCCUCACCGGUCUCAGUGAUGUCGAUCAGGCCGAGCAGGUGCAUCAGUUUGAGGAACAUGAUCACCAGGCAGACGAUGCCCACGGUCUGGAGUCCCUCCGUUUCCCACCUCACACUCAUCUUCCCUUCUUCUUCUCCCUGUUCUUCCACCGUCUCUUUCUUUUCCCGUCCUCUACAACCACAUUAUUGGGUUUCUAGACACCUCUCAUUGAGUCCAUCUGUCUCCUCCAGCCUCACCUUCUCUGUUCUCUUCCUGUCACUGAAACAGUGUCACUCGCUCAUCAUUUUUUUUUCUUACUCUAUUUAACGCUCACGUCCCCCCUUUUUAAUUGACUGCCUUUUCCUGGCGCUCUCUCCUGUUCAAAUGGAUUUUUCGGGAUAUUCUCCACAACUAAAAGCAGGUUCUAAUGCUCCCUAUUAAGGUCAAGUUGACUUGAUUAUUGCUGUAAAAAUACAUCCACAUCAAGAGAGGUAGUAAAAUAAAUCCACCAGGUUAUGAAAAAUCCAAUCAGAUAAAAAGCAGGCUCAGAUCUGCUCGGCAGGUAUUUUGUGCAUGCAUGCGGUUGGUUUGGGCUCCGUCCAAACAUUAUUCAUCUGGAUGGUGACAAACGCCACUGAAUCUGAAUAGCUGAGGCUUUGCAGCGUCCUCUCGCACUGUCUCACAUCUCAUUUUCAGCUAAUUAACCUGUGAUCCCCUGAGAGCAGAAAAAAGCUACAGUUCUCCUGAACUACAAUCAGGAAAUACAUCAACAAAGGACAUUAAACGACUCCAGGUUAUGAAUAGAGCAAUGUAAAAUAUUGGAUUCACAAAUAGUUUGUCCAAAUGUGACUCACACAAACAAUUUACAUCUAUAAGAAAUUACAGUCGACUCGAAGGUCAACAGGUGCCCUGAAUCCCAUUUUCCCUUGGAGCUCUGUGAUCCACUUUCUAAUAGUUCCCCAGUCUCUCCUGGGCUCUGUAACACAGAUUUAAUUCAGCAUUAAGACAGAGGAGUCCUGUCCCAUGCCCAUUCACACAUAAUAAUGGGAAAGAGUGAGCAAACACCCCCCUUAGGGCCUGAGACACUUUUAAACUCAUUUCAUGGUGUCGUUUUUUGACUGUGUGCUGCUGCCCUCUGGUGGAAACCAAUGGAACAACAACGUGCAUUAAAUUCAAUGAUAAAACUGAAACACAAGGACGGGGAAAAAUGUUUCAUUUAUAUAUUAGAAAUAUGUCUACUGACUUUUCCAAAACAUCUUCCUUGAAAGAAAACCCAACUCGCUUUCAACAGUAGAAUAUUGUAUUCACUAAAUGAUCCUGCGUGAGCAUUAAAUGUGGAGUAAAAAUAUCAGAUAUUGGUAUCAGUGGACCUCCGAAAAAGGCUCAUGCAUCUCUAAAGACAAGGCUACUGCAUUGAUGUCAUCCCAAAAUAGGACCGAGCUGGACUGAACCCAAAACUGACAUCAGAGCAGAGGAAGACCACGAGAUCAGACCAUUUAACUGUCUGUGGGUGUGUACACGGGGAAUAUAAAGGGCUGAAACAUUAAAGGACCUUUUCUUAAGUGGUGAUUAUAUAAAUAAUGCAGCUAAUAAGCUUUUAGGCCUUAAUGGAAUAGAUAGUGAUGGAGGAUGUUUAAUAUAAGGCUAAAUGUGGAAUAUUAGUGGUCACAGUUUUAGGGCCUCCUGUGGGCGAGAGGCAGGGUUCACCCUGGACAGUUCACCAGUCCAUCACAUAUAGAGAGAAGCGGUCCCUCACACAAACCCAGGACCUGUAGCUGAGGCAGCACGCCACCACGCCACACACUGAUCUAUACAGAUCAAAACAAUUAUCAGUGCUGAACUCGUGCUCCUCUACGAGCAGCAGAUGCUACUUCAAGGAUGUUACUACCAGUGUAAUAUAGACUCUCUCUGGUGAAGUCUUCCUGCAGCAGAGAAACUGGAGGAGAUUAAAGCUACGCUAUCAGGAAUGACGUCAAUUCAGCAGAAAAGCAAGCUUUUACUGGACAGUUGAUCUGUUUAUUGAAUUCUUACUCGUGGUCAAUGAGUAGAGGACUUGAGGAAGCGUCCUCAGCUUCCCACCACUGGCUGCAUUUAGGGGCCUAUUUCUGUCCAGUCAACAGCCGGAGCACAUACUUUAAAAAUGCCAAAACACAGUCCCUUAGUUAUUUACUGGUAAAUAGUAGAAGCUGAUGGUCACAGUGGCAGUGAGAAGAUGCUGAAGCAGGGGAGGUGACGACACUGCAGUUGGUAAAGUAGCACCACUGGGAGACGGCAGAGGAACGAGAAUGGAGAUAUUUGAUGAGAAUUUUGGAGGCUACUGAGGGGUGGCCAGUGUCCUUCAGGGUCCUGGAGGAGUACUCCAGGCUCCAUAUUUAGGCAGUCUCAGAGAAAUCCUGUUCGAUACUGCAUGUAUAAUUGAUGUGGAGUAAUGCUAAACCGGGGUGUAGGCCGGGCGGAGGAUGAGGAGGAGGGCCGGGGGGGCGCUAUUUGGGAAACCGAAGAUUGGACAAAAGGAUUGAGAGGAGUGAUAAAUUAUGAAAGGACAUUACUGGUGUUUUGGUUUAAAUUUAUUACUGAUGAUAGCGUGUGAGAAGCACUAAUGUGCCGGAUGGAGCCUUCCUGCUGUAAUCGCCUUGGCACGCUGACGGGAGCAGGCCACUCUGACACGCUGGCCUUCAGCCCAAAGGUCUAAUCACGAAAGCAUCGCUCAAAAAGCAGUAUCUGAUGUCUCCCUGAAGUCCCAGAUGCACACAGUCCAUCAAAGCCUUACGUGCAGUACAUCCUCCGGUUGGCACAACGAAACCCCAUUAACCUUUUUCCUCUCGGAUGCUGAUGGGCUAAUACUGCAUUCAGUUCUAAACACACUGUGGCAUUUUGCAGGUAGAAGGAAAUAUUGGGAGGACAGUAAUCCCUGACUGCAACACUGGGACGCCCGGCCUGUACUGGGCCUGUACUGGGCCUGUACUGGGCCUGUACUGGUACUGUGUACGUUCAUCAGUGUCGUUAACAGCGUGGACCAAAGGCAGCCGCUGUCUGUGGGCCAGAUGUUAAAUUAGCCAGUAGAACAACCAACACCAUGGCUGCUUUAUGUAAUAUUCUUAUAUUGUGGCGACAUGUUAUGUUUUGCCUGUGUCUUUUAUUGUGCAGCACUUUAGGAUCUAGACAGUAUAAUAUAAACAUUUACUUUAAUAUAAAAGCUAAUGUGGAAAAUCAUGACUUGACCACACUGGUAGAAGGACCCAAUCUAUUACGACUACUGCUAUUACACAAGUGUGCCGAGGAUUUAUUAUGAGCAAAAUGUGCUACAGCAGAUCGUGUUUAGUCAGAAUUAUUACUGAUGCAUUAGUAUGAAGGCUUGUAGUGACGCUGGCGCCAUUUAAAAACUACAUAAACUACGUAAUAAGCAACAAAUUCUACAGUUCAUUAUUUUAUUCUAGUUGUCAGUUUUUUUU